rnacentral:rRNA from 1 species
CCCCUUUGGUUAAAUUUCAAAAGGUCCUGCCUGCCCGGUGAUUAAGUUAAAAUUAAACGGGUGCGGUACUCUGACCGUGCAAAGGUAGCAUAAUCAUUAGCCUGUUAAUUUCAGGCUGGAAUCAAUGGCAAGACGAAGAAAGGGCUGUCUCUUUCUAUUAUUUUAGAAUUUUUCUUUUUGGUGAAGAGACCAAAAUGAAUAAGUGGGACGAGAAGACCCUAUUGAGCUUUAGUUAGUUAAUAGAAAAAAUUUUUUUUAAUCAACUUUGGUUGGGGCAACUGUUUAUAAAAUUAAAUAUAAAUAAAAAUAAAAAUGAAUUAAAUCUUUAGUAUAAAAAACCCAGAAUUUUUUUUUCUGCAUUUAAAAAAAGUUACCUUAGGGAUAACAGCGUAAUUCUUUUUGAGAGUACAUAUUGACAAAAGAGUUUGCGACCUCGAUGUUGGAUCAAGAUUUCCUGGAGGUGUAGUGGUUUCCAAGGGUUGGUUUGUUCAACCAUAAAAAUCUU